UACGGAGGGUGCGAGCGUUGUCCGGAAUCACUGGGCGUAAAGGGCGCGUAGGCGGCCUGAUAAGUAGGGGGUGAAAUCCUGCGGCUUAACCGCAGGGCUGCCUUCUAAACUGUCGGGCUCGAGCACAGUAGGAGGCAGGGUGGAAUUCCCGGUGUAGCGGGUGGAAUGCGUAGAGAUCGGGAAGAACAUCAGUGGCGAAGGCGGCCCUGCUGGGCUGUUGCUGACGCUGAGGCGCGACAGCGUGGGGAGCAAACAGG
rnacentral:rRNA from 1 species